GUGAGGCGCGUCUAGGGUUCCGCCGGUUCGCCGGGCCUGGUCCGAGAGACGCAAGCGGCUGCGCAGCGACGCCGGCCGUUCCACGGCGGGACAAAAGCCCGGGAGGC
rfam:Mycobacterium rhodesiae NBB3, complete genome.